ACGGGAGGCAGCAGUGAGGAAUAUUGAUCAAUGGGCGAGAGCCUGAACCAGCCAAGUAGCGUGAAGGAUGACUGCCCUAUGGGUUGUAAACUUCUUUUGUUUGGGAAUAAAGUGAGCCACGUGUGGCUUUUUGUAUGUACCAUUCGAAUAAGCAUCGGCUAAUUCCGUGCCAGCAGCCGCGGUAAUACGGAAGAUGCGAGCGUUAUCCGGAUUUAUUGGGUUUAAAGGGAGCGUAGGCGGAAGGUUAAGUCUGCGGUCAAAUGUCAGGGCCCAACCUUGGCAUGCCGUGGAUACUGUCCUUCUUGAGUGCGCACAAGGAAGAUGGAAUUCGUCGUGUAGCGGUGAAAUGCUUAGAUAUGACGAAGAACUCCGAUUGCGAAGGCAGUCUUCUGGGGUGUUACUGACGCUGAGGCUCGAAAGUGCGGGAAUCAAACAGGAUUAGAUACCCUGGUA
rnacentral:rRNA from 1 species